rnacentral:rRNA from 1 species
AAAGCGUGCGCAGGCGGUUUUGUAAGUCUGACGUGAAAUCCCCGGGCUCAACCUGGGAAUUGCGUUGGAGACUGCAAGGCUAGAAUCUGGCAGAGGGGGGUAGAAUUCCACGUGUAGCAGUGAAAUGCGUAGAGAUGUGGAGGAACACCGAUGGCGAAGGCAGCCCCCUGGGUCAAGAUUGACGCUCAUGCACGAAAGCGUGGGGAGCAAACAGGAUUAGAUACCCCUGU